CGGAUACUCGUGGACGGACGUAGGGGGAACAGGGGGGGUGCGAGCGGUGGUCGGAAUGACUGGGCGUAAAGGGCGUGUAGGCGGUCAAGUAAGUGGAAUGUGAAAUCCCCCGGCUGACCCGGGGACCUGCAUCCCAAACUGCUUGGCUUGAGUACGGGAGAGGAUGAGGGAAUUCCUGGUGUAGCGGUGAAAUGCGUAGAUAUCAGGAGGAACACCGGUGGCGAAGGCGCUCAUCUGGCCCGAUACUGACGCUGAGGCGCGAAAGCUAGGGGAGCAAACGGGAUUAGAUACCCGAGUAGUC
rnacentral:rRNA from 1 species